rnacentral:lncRNA from 10 species
GAUCACGAGGUCAGGAGAUCGAGACCAUCCUGGCUAACACGGUGAAACCCCGUCUCUACUAAAAAUACAAAAAAAUUAGCCGGGCGUGGUGGCGGGCGCCUGUAGUCCCAGCUACUCGGGAGGCUGAGGCAGGAGAAUGGCGUGAACCCGGGAGGCGGAGCUUGCAGUGAGCCGAGAUUGCGCCACUGCACUCCCGCCUGGGCCACAGAGCAAGACUCCGUCUCAAAAAAAAAAAGUAUCUUUAAUUUUUGGAGUGUAUUGAAGCUCUUGUGGGUUGAAGAGGUGGAGCUGAAGGAUGUGGGAUGGAGGCAGCCUGGCUUAGUUGUUGGGUGGUUAGGGGGUUGCGAAGCGGAGGAGGGUCUGGGAGGCUGGUUGGCUCCACAGCUGUUUCACAGACAUUUUGUUUAAUUCUUAGAGCAAUUUUGUAAAAUCAGUGUCAUCAUUCCCCUUUAACCGUUGGAAGACAUGAGUCUGAGUUGAAGUUAAAGAGAAGCUUCUGAUUCUAAGUCAAGUCUCUCUCUGUUGCCUUCCUCCGGGCAGGAGGGCUGUGAUGUAUCCUGGCGAGCCUGGGGGCGAUCCAGUCUUAGGAGGUGGGAGGCCUGCAUUGCAGAGAGCAGAGGUGAAUGGGCCUCCCAGGUUGAGCUUGUGAUGGGCAAGUAGACUGGCACGGGAUGAGGUUGGCAGUGGGGAGAGGUAGGAUGCAGUGCGGGGAAAUGGGCCUUUCCACCUGAGAAAGGCGAGUGUGUCUGCGUUUGAUAAUCCUUUGAUAUUUGCGUAUCUGUUAUUUUCAAGAAUCACAUUUCACAUAGAAAGCCAUGUGACAGUUUUUAAAUUAAAAAAAAAAAAAGGUAGAAAUUCCAGAGAUCUUGUCUUAGGUAUUUACUGCCAGCUACAAACAAACCCCUUUUGAAUUUACUUAACAAGGAAUUUAAUAAAAGUAGCUCUGGCAUUCAGCCGCAGCCCUGCCCACAUUCCUGUUAGCUGAGGUCACCUGACUCUGCUUGUCGUUUUUGCACAGGCAGACGUGUGCAUUCUGGAGAGCAGGGAGUGAGUGUAAAGUUUAGGCUGCGUCAGGAUGCUGACUCCUCAGAAGUGUAACUUCGGCACUAUCCAGCCUGUGGGUGGAAUGGCAAUAGCGGAGAAUGGGAACUUCCUACUGGAGCUGUUUACGGUGACAGCCCAGGAUUUGUGCCACACUUGCUUCCUUCAUAUGCUGGCUUCAGGUUUCUGAUAGAUGAAUGGCACAGCUAUGGGCAAGCUCUGCAUUUCCCCUCCUCUCCUUUUUCUCAUCGUGGUUUGUACUUGCCUCUCAGCACCCAUCACACUGGAUGUAACUACAGGCAUGUCUCUCCUGUUUGACUGUAAACUCCUUGCUGGACACAUAUCUCAGGAGUCCUUACAGCCAUUUCAGUGCUGUUGCAAAGUGGAUAUUUAAUAAAUAUUUGUUGAAGGAAGUCUGUUUGCUUGUUUUUGAGACAGAGUCUUGCUCUGUCACCUAGGCUGGAGUACAGUGGCAUGAUCUGGGCUCACUGCAAGCUCCCCUACCGGGUUCAUGCCAUUCUCUUGCCUCAGCCUCCCGAGUAGCUGGAACUACAGGCGCCCGCCACCACACCCGGCUAAUUUUUUGUAUUUUCAGUAGAGACGGG